GCUAGCGUAGCUUAAACAUAAAGCAUAACACUGAAGCUGUUAAAAUAGGUACUGAUACACCUCGCAAGCA
rnacentral:tRNA from 1 species